AAAGGCGCUACGAAAACGUAAAUUAUAUGGGGUAAUCGCGAAUUUUUGCGAUCAAUCUGUUCAUAUUUUAGUCGCUAUUUUACCUUGUGAAGUAGUGUUCCUCUUCCUUUCAACCAAUAGCUCUUUUCCACUCUAAGUGUUUGUGUUUCUGGACACUACAAGACCUACAAUGUAUAUUUUUAUCCAAAUAUAUUAUUAAAAAUUUACAAAACAAAGUGGCAUGGUUAUACUAUAUUGAUUAUUGACUGACGCUGGUCAAACAUGCGGGCUA